rfam:Angiostrongylus cantonensis strain Taiwan genome assembly, scaffold: ACAC_scaffold0004275
AUCGUUGUGGUCUAGUGGAUAGGAUUUACGGCUCUCACCCGUAGGGCCCGGGUUCGAUUCCCGGCAACGGAA